rnacentral:rRNA from 1 species
GACGAACGCUGGCGGCGUGCCUAAUACAUGCAAGUCGAACGAGAGCACCCGGUGCUUGCACUGGUCAAUCUAGUGGCGAACGGGUGAGUAACACGUGGGUAACCUGCCCAUCAGAGGGGGAUAACAUCCGGAAACGGAUGCUAAAACCGCAUAGGUCUUCGAACCGCAUGGUUUGAAGAGGAAAAGAGGCGCAAGCUUCUGCUGAUGGAUGGACCCGCGGUGCAUUAGCUAGUUGGUGAGGUAACGGCUCACCAAGGCCGUGAUGCAUAGCCGACCUGAGAGGGUGAUCGGCCACAUUGGGACUGAGACACGGCCCAAACUCCUACGGGAGGCAGCAGUAGGGAAUCUUCCGCAAUGGACGCAAGUCUGACGGAGCAACGCCGCGUGAGUGAAGAAGGUUUUCGGAUCGUAAAACUCUGUUGUUAGAGAAGAACAAGUGCUAGAGUAACUGUUAGCGCCUUGACGGUAUCUAAACAGAAAGCCACGGCUAACUACGUG